CCCCGGGCCCGCGGGGCCGGCGCGCGUGAAUCCCGUCAGGACCGUGAAGGUAGCAGCGGUAAGCGUGUAAAGGUCGCCGCGGUCAGCCCGGGUUUA
rnacentral:SRP_RNA from 1 species